GCGCGCAUUAAACAUAUAAAUAAUAUCAAAUUUUCUUGUCUCUGUGUAGCUUUUUUCUAUGUAAUAACAUGCGUUUCGUAAAAAAUGUGUUUUGCGUACUUUAGGAUUUCGUACGGCUAUAAGAUAUAAUUUUUUUUUGUUUUGCGAACGUUCACUAAAGUGGUAAUUUUCCCGCCAGACAUAAAAUCGCUCCCGUUUGUUCGUACGGACCGUUAUAACGCACAAUACAUAUCGGACGAGGAAGAAUAAUACAAUUUCUACCAAUAAAAUAUAAAGCUCAUCCCCCUCUCCCGUAUUGUUAACAAUUUUAAGCGUAUUUGUUCGGUUUAACCUCACCAAUGACUAUAAUAUUAUAGUAAAACGUAUGCAUAUUAAAGACUCAUAUCCGGGCACAAAAACAGGAACGUAUUG